GACGAACGCUGGCGGCGUGCUUAACACAUGCAAGUCGAACGGAAAGGCCCUGCUUUUGUGGGGUGCUCGAGUGGCGAACGGGUGAGUAACACGUGAGUAACCUGCCCUUGACUUUGGGAUAACUUCAGGAAACUGGGGCUAAUACCGGAUAGGAGCUCCUGCUGCCUGGUGGGUGUUGGAAAGUUUCGGCGGUUGGGGAUGGACUCGCGGCUUAUCAGCUUGUUGGUGGGGUAGUGGCUUACCAAGGCUUUGACGGGUAGCCGGCCUGAGAGGGUGACCGGCCACAUUGGGAAUGAGAUACGGCCCAGACUCCUACGGGAGGCAGCAGUGGGGAAUAUUGCACAAUGGGCGGAAGCCUGAUGCAGCAACGCCGCGUGCGGGAUGACGGCCUUCGGGUUGUAAACCGCUUUCGCCUGUGACGAAGCGUGAGUGACGGUAAUGGGUAAAGAAGCACCGGCUAACUACGUG
rnacentral:rRNA from 1 species